AAUCGCUGGGGGAGCAAAAUGCUGAGAAACCGGAUUUCCGGUGACCCUUAUCACCUGAUCCGGGUAAUACCGGCGAAGGGAAGCACAUAUUU
rnacentral:ncRNA from 1 species